ensembl:vault_RNA Vault Vault RNA
GCGCUGGUUUCGCUCAGUGCGUUACUUCCUCAUAAAUGUUAUUUCAUGGUCUGCAGGCCAGAGGUACAAUCCCGGGCGCUGUCCUGUGUUUUU